GCCCAGGUAGCUCAGGGGCAGAGCGCGUCCUUGGUAAGGACGAGGUCGUCGGUUCAAAUCCGACCUUGGGCU
rnacentral:tRNA from 1 species